rnacentral:rRNA from 1 species
AACGCUGGCGGCGUGCUUAACACAUGCAAGUCGAAACGAUGAAGCGGUUGCUUUGCACCGUGGAUUAGUCGGCGAACGGGUGAGUAAUACGUGAGUCGACCUACCUUUUGACUCUGGGAUAAGCCUGGGAAACUGGGUCUAAUACCGGAUACGACCAAUCUCUGCAUGGGGUGUUUGGUGGAAAGCGUUAUGGAGUGGUUUUAGAUGGGCUCACGGCCGAUCAGCUUGUUGGUGAGGUAAUGGCUUACCAAGGCGACGACGGGUAGCCGGCCUGAGAGGGUGACCGGCCACACUGGGACUGAGACACGGCCCAGACUCCUACGGGAGGCAGCAGUGGGGAAUAUUGCACAAUGGGCGCAAGCCUGAUGCAGCGACGCCGCGUGAGGGAUGACGGCCUUCGGGUUGUAAACCUCUGUUAGCAUCGAAGAAGCGAAAGUGACGGUAGGUGCAGAGAAAGCGCCGGCUAACUACGUGCCAGCAGCCGCGGUAAUACGUAGGGCGCGAGCGUUGUCCGGAAUUAUUGGGCGUAAAGAGCUUGUAGGCGGUUGGUCGCGUCUGCUGUGAAAGGCCGGGGCUUAACUCCGGUUUUGCAGUGGGUACGGGCUAACUAGAGUGCAGUAGGGGAGACUGGAAUUCCUGGUGUAGCGGUGGAAUGCACAGAUAUCAGGAGGAACACCGAUGGCGAAGGCAGGUCUCUGGGCUGUAACUGACGCUGAGAAGCGAAAGCAUGGGGAGCGAACAGGAUUAGAUACCCUGGUAGUCCAUGCCGUAAACGUUGGGCACUAGGUGUGGGGGACAUUCCACGUUUUCCGCGCCGUAGCUAACGCAUUAAGUGCCCCGCCUGGGGAGUACGGCCGCAAGGCUAAAACUCAAAGGAAUUGACGGGGGCCCGCACAAGCGGCGGAGCAUGCGGAUUAAUUCGAUGCAACGCGAAGAACCUUACCAAGGCUUGACAUGCAUUAGAUCGCGUCAGAGAUGGCGUUUCCCUUCGGGGCUGGUGUACAGGUGGUGCAUGGUUGUCGUCAGCUCGUGUCGUGAGAUGUUGGGUUAAGUCCCGCAACGAGCGCAACCCUCGUUCUAUGUUGCCAGCGGUUCGGCCGGGGACUCAUAGGAGACUGCCGGGGUCAACUCGGAGGAAGGUGGGGAUGACGUCAAAUCAUCAUGCCCCUUAUGUCUUGGGCUUCACGCAUGCUACAAUGGCCGGUACAGAGGGUUGCGAUACUGUGAGGUGGAGCUAAUCCCUUAAAGCCGGUCUCAGUUCGGAUUGGGGUCUGCAACUCGACCCCAUGAAGUCGGAGUCGCUAGUAAUCGCAGAAUCAGCAACGCUGCGGUGAAAUACGUUCCCGGGCCUUGUACACACCGCCCGUCA